rnacentral:rRNA from 1 species
GUGUCAGCCGCCGCGGUAAUACAGAGGGUGCAAGCGUUGUUCGGAAUGAUUGGGCGUAAAGCAUCUGUAGGUGGUUUCUAAAGUCAGCUGUUAAAUCCCAGAGCUCAACUUUGGUCAAGCAGUUGAGUACUUAGAGACUUGAGUACGGUAGGGGUAGAGGGAAUUCCUUGUUUAGCGGUGAAAUGCAUAGAGAUAAGGAAGAACACCAGUGGCGAAAGCGCUCUACUGGGCCGUAACUGACACUGAGAGAUGAAAGUUAGGGGAGCGAAAAGGAUUAGAUACCCUUGUAGUCCUAACUGUAAACGAUGGAUACUAAGUGCUGUCAAAAACAGUGCUGUAGCUAACGCGUUAAGUAUCCCGCCUGGGGAGUAUGCUCGCAAGAGUGAAACUCAAAGGAAUUGGCGGGG